UACGUAGGGGGCAAGCGUUGUCCGGAAUCAUUGGGCGUAAAGAGCGUGUAGGCGGUUCAGUAAGUCUGCUGUGAAAGUCCAAGGCUCAACCUUGGGAUGCCGGUGGAUACUGCUGAGCUAGAGUACGGAAGAGGCGAGUGGAAUUCCCGGUGUAGCGGUGAAAUGCGCAGAUAUCGGGAGGAACACCGAUGGCGAAGGCAGGUCUCUGGGCAUUAACUGACGCUGAGGAGCGAAAGCAUGGGGAGCGAACAGG
rnacentral:rRNA from 1 species